rnacentral:rRNA from 1 species
GGGUUGUGAGGUUAAGCGACUAAGCGUACACGGUGGAUGCCCAGGCAGUCAGAGGCGAUGAAGGACGUGCUAAUCUGCGAUAAGCGUCGGUAAGGUGAUAUGAACCGUUAUAACCGGCGAUUUCCGAAUGGGGAAACCCAGUGUGUUUCGACACACUAUCAUUAACUGAAUCCAUAGGUUAAUGAGGCGAACCGGGGGAACUGAAACAUCUAAGUACCCCGAGGAAAAGAAAUCAACCGAGAUUCCCCCAGUAGCGGCGAGCGAACGGGGAGCAGCCCAGAGCCUGAAUCAGUGUGUGUGUUAGUGGAAGCGUCUGGAAAGGCGCGCGAUACAGGGUGACAGCCCCGUACACAAAAAUGCACAUGCUGUGAGCUCGAUGAGUAGGGCGGGACACGUGGUAUCCUGUCUGAAUAUGGGGGGACCAUCCUCCAAGGCUAAAUACUCCUGACUGACCGAUAGUGAACCAGUACCGUGAGGGAAAGGCGAAAAGAACCCCGGCGAGGGGAGUGAAAAAGAACCUGAAACCGUGUACGUACAAGCAGUGGGAGCACGCUUAGGCGUGUGACUGCGUACCUUUUGUAUAAUGGGUCAGCGACUUAUAUUCUGUAGCAAGGUUAACCGAAUAGGGGAGCCGAAGGGAAACCGAGUCUUAACUGGGCGUUAAGUUGCAGGGUAUAGACCCGAAACCCGGUGAUCUAGCCAUGGGCAGGUUGAAGGUUGGGUAACACUAACUGGAGGACCGAACCGACUAAUGUUGAAAAAUUAGCGGAUGACUUGUGGCUGGGGGUGAAAGGCCAAUCAAACCGGGAGAUAGCUGGUUCUCCCCGAAAGCUAUUUAGGUAGCGCCUCGUGAAUUCAUCUCCGGGGGUAGAGCACUGUUUCGGCAAGGGGGUCAUCCCGACUUACCAACCCGAUGCAAACUGCGAAUACCGGAGAAUGUUAUCACGGGAGACACACGGCGGGUGCUAACGUCCGUCGUGAAGAGGGAAACAACCCAGACCGCCAGCUAAGGUCCCAAAGUCAUGGUUAAGUGGGAAACGAUGUGGGAAGGCCCAGACAGCCAGGAUGUUGGCUUAGAAGCAGCCAUCAUUUAAAGAAAGCGUAAUAGCUCACUGGUCGAGUCGGCCUGCGCGGAAGAUGUAACGGGGCUAAACCAUGCACCGAAGCUGCGGCAGCGACGCUUAUGCGUUGUUGGGUAGGGGAGCGUUCUGUAAGCCUGUGAAGGUGUGCUGUGAGGCAUGCUGGAGGUAUCAGAAGUGCGAAUGCUGACAUAAGUAACGAUAAAGCGGGUGAAAAGCCCGCUCGCCGGAAGACCAAGGGUUCCUGUCCAACGUUAAUCGGGGCAGGGUGAGUCGACCCCUAAGGCGAGGCCGAAAGGCGUAGUCGAUGGGAAACAGGUUAAUAUUCCUGUACUUGGUGUUACUGCGAAGGGGGGACGGAGAAGGCUAUGUUGGCCGGGCGACGGUUGUCCCGGUUUAAGCGUGUAGGCUGGUUUUCCAGGCAAAUCCGGAAAAACAAGGCUGAGGCGUGAUGACGAGGCACUACGGUGCUGAAGCAACAAAUGCCCUGCUUCCAGGAAAAGCCUCUAAGCAUCAGGUAACAUCAAAUCGUACCCCAAACCGACACAGGUGGUCAGGUAGAGAAUACCAAGGCGCUUGAGAGAACUCGGGUGAAGGAACUAGGCAAAAUGGUGCCGUAACUUCGGGAGAAGGCACGCUGAUAUGUAGGUGAAGUCCCUCGCGGAUGGAGCUGAAAUCAGUCGAAGAUACCAGCUGGCUGCAACUGUUUAUUAAAAACACAGCACUGUGCAAACACGAAAGUGGACGUAUACGGUGUGACGCCUGCCCGGUGCCGGAAGGUUAAUUGAUGGGGUUAGCCGCAAGGCGAAGCUCUUGAUCGAAGCCCCGGUAAACGGCGGCCGUAACUAUAACGGUCCUAAGGUAGCGAAAUUCCUUGUCGGGUAAGUUCCGACCUGCACGAAUGGCGUAAUGAUGGCCAGGCUGUCUCCACCCGAGACUCAGUGAAAUUGAACUCGCUGUGAAGAUGCAGUGUACCCGCGGCAAGACGGAAAGACCCCGUGAACCUUUACUAUAGCUUGACACUGAACAUUGAGCCUUGAUGUGUAGGAUAGGUGGGAGGCUUAGAAGUGUGGACGCCAGUCUGCAUGGAGCCGACCUUGAAAUACCACCCUUUAAUGUUUGAUGUUCUAACGUUGACCCGUAAUCCGGGUUGCGGACAGUGUCUGGUGGGUAGUUUGACUGGGGCGGUCUCCUCCUAAAGAGUAACGGAGGAGCACGAAGGUUGGCUAAUCCUGGUCGGACAUCAGGAGGUUAGUGCAAUGGCAUAAGCCAGCUUGACUGCGAGCGUGACGGCGCGAGCAGGUGCGAAAGCAGGUCAUAGUGAUCCGGUGGUUCUGAAUGGAAGGGCCAUCGCUCAACGGAUAAAAGGUACUCCGGGGAUAACAGGCUGAUACCGCCCAAGAGUUCAUAUCGACGGCGGUGUUUGGCACCUCGAUGUCGGCUCAUCACAUCCUGGGGCUGAAGUAGGUCCCAAGGGUAUGGCUGUUCGCCAUUUAAAGUGGUACGCGAGCUGGGUUUAGAACGUCGUGAGACAGUUCGGUCCCUAUCUGCCGUGGGCGCUGGAGAACUGAGGGGGGCUGCUCCUAGUACGAGAGGACCGGAGUGGACGCAUCACUGGUGUUCGGGUUGUCAUGCCAAUGGCACUGCCCGGUAGCUAAAUGCGGAAGAGAUAAGUGCUGAAAGCAUCUAAGCACGAAACUUGCCCCGAGAUGAGUUCUCCCUGACUCCUUGAGAGUCCUGAAGGAACGUUGAAGACGACGACGUUGAUAGGCCGGGUGUGUAAGCGCAGCGAUGCGUUGAGCUAACCGGUACUAAUGAACCGUGAGGCUUAACCUUACAACGCCGAAGGUGUUU